rnacentral:rRNA from 1 species
UCGUGUCGUGAGAUGUUGGGUUAAGUCCCGCAACGAGCGCAACCCUCACCCCUUGUUGCCAUCAGGUGAUGCUGGGCACUCUAGGGGAACUGCCCCGGUCAACGGGGAGGAAGGUGGGGAUGACGUCAAGUCAUCAUGCCCCUUACGCCCUGGGCUACACACGUGCUACAAUGGCCGGUACAAAGGGAUGCAAUACCGCGAGGUGGAGCUAAACCCAGAAAGCCGGUCUAAGUUCAGAUUGGAGUCUGCAACUCGACUCCAUGAAGGAGGAAUCGCUAGUAAUCGC